UUCUAUGGAGCUGUACCGUUUAUCUAAGACCUAAGUCAUAACGUAGAAAAUUAAUUAUGCCAUAUCACCAACGAUAUCUCUGAAAUAUUCUUAUGACAUGAAAUCUUUCAAAACUGUCUUUAAAAUAUAUAUUAAGUGAACGGAGUAUGGUUUGAAAUACUGUUCACAUCUGUCAGGAUAGUGUUGGAACUUGAGUCUCGUGACUUGACCUGGCGGCUGGCUCUGGCUGUGUUCUUCCCUCAUCAGCAGCCAUCUUAAACUUAGUUUGCUCUGAUUAUUCAUCGUCAUUAUACCAAAAGUUCUUUAGAAUUCCCAAUGCGCUCCUUCAGUUAUUUCAAGACUUAUCACAAUUGCGUGUCUGAUUAUUACGGAGAAUCUGAUUGGAUGUCAUUGUCUAGCACCGGACAGAAUGAAAUACUCUUCGCUUCGAUGUCUGGUUGUUGCAAGGAAUCUUUUUAUUGUGUGAACCGCGUCUUGGGAGUGGAAGUUCCAGUUCCUGGAGUCUAAUUUACAUAGUUUGAAUCACGUCUUGGGAGUGGAAGUUCCAGUUCCUGGAGUCGAAUUUACAUAGUUUGAAUCACGUCUUGGGAGUGGAAGUUCCAGUUCCUGGUUCAUUGAGUGUAGCACCGAGGGACGAGAACAGUUCUGAACCAUGAAUGCAGCACCGUGUGCAAGUACUGGUUU